rnacentral:rRNA from 1 species
CCUACGGGUGGCAGCAGUGAGGAAUAUUGGUCAAUGGAGGCAACUCUGAACCAGCCAAGUAGCGUGCAGGAUGACGGUCCUAUGGGUCGUAAACCUCUUUUAUCCGGGGACAAACUGGGUCACGUGUGGCCUAUUGCAUGUACCUCAUGAAUAAGCACCGGCUAAAUCCGUGCCAGCAGCCGCGGUAAUACGGAAGGUCCCGGCGUUAUCCGGAUUUAUUGGGUUUAAAGGGAGCGCAGGCCGCCCCUUAAGCGGGCUGUGAAAUGCCGCGGCUCAACCGUGGCACCGCCGCGCGAACUGGGGGGCUUGAGUGUGAGAGAGGUAGGCGGAAUUCGUGGUGUAGCGGUGAAAUGCAUAGAUAUCGCGAAGAACUCCGAUUGCGAAGGCAGCAUACCGUAGCGUGACUGACGCUGAGGCUCGAAGGUGCGGGUAUCGAACAGGAUUAGAUACCCGAGUAGUC